rnacentral:rRNA from 1 species
GACGAACGCUGGCGGCGCGCUUAACACAUGCAAGUCGAACGGAAAGGCCUGCUUUCCCUUGUGGAUUGCGGGUACUCGAGUGGCGAACGGGUGAGUAACACGUGAGUGAUCUGCCCCCAACUUGGGUAUAAGCCUGGGAAACUGGGUCUAAUUCCCGAUAGGACUGCAGGGGGGUGCCUGUGUUGGAAAACGAUUUUCUAGUGGUUGGGGAUGAGCUCGCGGCCUAUCAGCUUGUUGGUGGGGUAAUGGCCUACCAAGGCGGCGACGGGUAGCCGGCCUGGGAGGGUGGACGGCCACAUUGGGACUGAGAUACGGCCCAGACUCCUACGGGAGGCAGCAGUGGGGAAUAUUGCACAAUGGGCGGAAGCCUGAUGCAGCGACGCCGCGUGGGGGAUGACGGCCUUCGGGUUGUAAACUCCUUUCGACCGCGAGGAAGCCACCUGGUUGGAAGGGUGGUGACGGUAGUGGUAGAAGAAGCACCGGCUAACUACGUG